CCCUAGAAAGAAUAAUAGCUACAUUCUGGAGCAGUAGUUUUAUAUUACUAAGGCAACUUCUGGACCUUUUAAUACAUGAGACAAAUGCUGAUAGAAAUCCAUGGCAUCUCCAAGUGAAAGUAAGGAUAUUUCAUGAACUAAGUGCUGCUGUGGAAAAUAUUGAAGAACUCAGUUGAUGUUCAGAAAAUCCAUCGUGGAUGACCCCACAAAUCCUUACUGGCUCCAACUUCCAAUUCAUUCUUCGACUCUGUGAGACAAGAACCAAGCUCUCCUGUAUCAAAAUGACCAGGACAAGAGAGAGCAAGCACACAUGUGAGCGUGGGGAGGAGGAAAGGAGCAUGAGAGACAACGUGAGCUGGAGGCAGAGCUCUAUCCCAGAACUCAAAGAUCACAACAGAAGCUAAUACCAAGAGUCAGAGGCUCAACUUAAUGAGCCACCUAGGUGCCCCAAAUUAAGUCUCUCUUUUUAAAUAAAAACAAAAGAA